rnacentral:rRNA from 1 species
CGGCGGUGCCGCAGGCUAACACAUGCAAGUCGACGGUAACAGGAAGCAGCUUGCUUCUUCGCUGACGAGUGGCGGACGGGUGAGUAAUGUCUGGGAAACUGCCUGAUGGAGGGGGAUAACUACUGGAAACGGUAGCUAAUACCGCAUAACGUCGCAAGACCAAAGAGGGGGACCUUCGGGCCUCUUGCCAUCGGAUGUGCCCAGAUGGGAUUAGCUAGUAGGUGGGGUAACGGCUCACCUAGGCGACGAUCCCUAGCUGGUCUGAGAGGAUGACCAGCCACACUGGAACUGAG